rnacentral:lncRNA from 1 species
AAGAUUUGAAAAACGGAAAAAAAGUUCUUACAUUCUCUCUGGAAGUCUUUCUCCGAAGAGGAUAGCGUGAUUCAAUUUUGACGGCGGGAGAACUCAAAGAUCCUGAAUCCAUUGUUAGAUGAAAAAGAAACAAACAAUAUACAAAAUAACAAAUGAAAAUGAAACAAGAAAGAAAUUGAAAUAAAGAAUAUAAGAAAACGAAACCCUGCAAAAGAAAUGAAUUAGACAAAAUAAAAAUCAAACUGAAUCGGUUAUUGCGAGUUGCAACUAGAUAGCUUGAGAGAGAGAGAUAUAGAAAGAGAGAGAAGAGAGAGAGAUUAGAAUGAUGUUAGAAAUAUGCGCGAGAGAAAUAUGCGCGAGAG